CCUACGGGAGGCAGCAGUGGGGAAUAUUGGACAAUGGGCGAAAGCCUGAUCCAGCCAUGCCGCGUGUGUGAAGAAGGCCUUCGGGUUGUAAAGCACUUUCAGUGGGGAAGAAAGCCUUGGGGCUAAUACCCUCGAGGAAGGACAUCACCCACAGAAGAAGCACCGGCUAACUCCGUGCCAGCGAGCCGCGGUAAUACGGAGGGUGCGAGCGUUAAUCGGAAUUACUGGGCGUAAAGCGCGCGUAGGCGGUCUGAUAAGCCGGUUGUGAAAGCCCCGGGCUCAACCUGGGAACGGCAUCCGGAACUGUCAGGCUAGAGUGCAGGAGAGGAAGGUAGAAUUCCCGGUGUAGCGGUGAAAUGCGUAGAGAUCGGGAGGAAUACCAGUGGCGAAGGCGGCCUUCUGGACUGACACUGACGCUGAGGUGCGAAAGCGUGGGUAGCAAACAGGAUUAGAUACCCUUGUAGUC
rnacentral:rRNA from 1 species